rnacentral:rRNA from 1 species
CCUACGGGAGGCAGCAGUGAGGAAUAUUGGUCAAUGGGCGCGAGCCUGAACCAGCCAAGUAGCGUGAAGGAUGACUGCCCUACGGGUUGUAAACUUCUUUUAUCAAGGAAUAAAGUGAGGCACGUGUGCCUUUUUGUAUGUACUUUAUGAAUAAGGAUCGGCUAACUCCGUGCCAGCAGCCGCGGUAAUACGGAGGAUCCGAGCGUUAUCCGGAAUCAUUGGGCGUAAAGAGUUCGUAGGCGGCACGUAAAGUCCGGUGUUAAAGGCAGAGGCUCAACUUCCGUACGGCAGUGGAUACUUGCGGGCUAGAGUGCGAGAGAGGUAAAGGGAAUUCCUGGUGUAGCGGUGAAAUGCUUAGAUAUCAGGAGGAACAUCGGUGGCGUAGGCACUUUACUGGGCCGUAAUUGACGCUGAGGAACGAAAGCGAGGGUAGCAAAUGGGAUUAGAUACCCUUGUAGUC